GGCAAAAAGUUGUUGAAGAGGACAAACCAAACAGGCAAAAAGUUGUAAAAGAGGAACAACCAAACAGGCAAAAAGUUGUAAAAGAGGAACAACCAAACAGGUAAAAAGUUUUAUAAGAGGAACAACCACAGUUAAAAAGUUGUUAAAGGAACAACUAAACAGGUAAAAAAAAAAAAAAUUAAGGAACAAAUAAAAAGGUAAAAGGUUGUUAAAGAGAAAAAACCAAACAGGUAAAAAGAAAAAAAAAAUAUAGAGGCAACCAGCAACCUCUGGGAUGAGAAAACACCAGUACAUCAGACACAAACAGCUAGACUGAUGGUGCCCCGUGUCUUUACUGUUUAUUGGAUAUUAUGAACAGUUGAAAACGGUGCGUUAGUCCUGGUCCUCCA